GCCUAUCAAAUAUUACACGUAGAUUUGGGUCCCUGGCCGCUCUUGUCAGGAAAGUGAAGAGCAGGAGGAUUGUGUACGAAAUUCUGCGAUUUCUCCAUGGCUGCCGUCGGGAAGACCAGCAGAAUGAUGUUGAAGGAGAUAUUGCACUCUCGUAUUUCCCGAUCUCUUCUCUGCGCAGGCUUCCUAAAACCCCAGAAAGUCCUUAGACUUUAGCUUGUGGGAAUGCUGUUCUUCCGUUACCACGACGCUGGAUUGGUUCCAGCGCUAUUCGAUGCGCAGCUUCAGAUGCUGAUGGUGGUGAGAAGAAAGUACCAGCUUGGCCCUCCCAGGUUCAGCAGCUUCUGCAAGAAGCUGAAGACCGAGCUCAGGCAUUUGAUAUCUGAGCAAUCGCUGCAAAACUUAAACCGAUAUUUCUUUCUAUCCAAAUUUUCACUUAGGCUUGGUUUUACAGGGGAAAUGGGAGGAGAGAAUACUAGAAAUUACUGUUUUUGGGAGUUUUUCCUCGGUAUUCUCUCCUCUCUAAUUUUCUUCCCAUCCAAUCUAAGGGUUGAGGUAUAAAUUUCCUGGAAGAUCUUAUCUCCAAUGUUCUAGAGAUAUUAAUAGAAUUCUAUUUUCUCUGAAGCAGUAUGCCUUUUUAAAUUUGGUGUCGCUCGAUGCUUAUUAGAGUACUUCUGCGUAAAUUUCAAUUUGUAAUGGUUUUCUGCCACUUUUCAUUUUUCAGCAGUUAGAGACUAUCCUUAUCCCAGGACCCUAUUAAGAAACUGUCCAUUGAUCUGUUUAUUCAGAGAUUUUCAUAGCCACUGUCUUCUUUUAAUGAACUCAAUGAUGCUGCAGUUUAGUGAUGAUUCUGAUUUAUUUAUUCUUUAUCUCCUCCACUACUUCGUUGUUCCUCUAGAUGUCAUAAAAAAACCUGGUUAUCUGCAUGACUAGCAUUGUUCCUUACUUUACCUCCGAACCAACAUCUGAUGACAAAGGUAAACGCCAUUCCCUUUCUUCUGUUAUCUCAUAUGAUCAUUUGUCCACUAACCAUUGCAUUUAUGGCCUUUCUCUUUCCACUGACCCCGAACCUAGAACAUUCAAAUAAAUAUCAACACUGGAGGGAUGCAUUGGCUGAUGAACUUUCUGCUCUUGAGCAAAACCAUACCUGGAUCCUUACUUGUUUACCGGUAAGCAACCCAUUGGCUGCAAGUGGGUCUUUUAAGAAGAAACUUAAGUCUAAUGGUGAGCUGGAUCGCUACAAAGGCUGAUUAGUGGCCGAAGGCUAUACUCAAACUGAAGGAAUUGAUUAUUUUGACAACUUUUCUCCUGUGGCUAUGACGACUGCUGUUCGAUUGGUUCUUUCUUUGGCUGCUGCUAAAGGCUGGUUUCUUCAUCAACUUCAUGUGAAUAAUGCCUUCCUUCAUGGGGAUUUGCAUGAGGAGUUUUACAUGGUUUUACCUCAAGGAUUUCCUACUACUGAUUCUUCUCUUGUCUGCAAGCUUCAGAAAUUGCUCUAUGGCUUAAAACAAGCUAGUCAUCUAUGGUUUGCCAAGCUUUCUUCUGCUUUCCUCUCUUAUGGCUAUACACAAUCUGUUGCAGAUCAUUCCCUUUUAACACGUUCUCAUAAAGGUUCUUUUACUGCUCUUCUUGUUUUUGUGGAUGAUAUUGUUAGCUGGUGAUGAUAUGGCUGAAAUCACUCAUAUCAAGUCUCUUCUUAAUGAGGCUUUCAAGAUUAAAGACCUUGGAGAACUUACGUACUUCCUUGGUCUUGAAGUGGCUCGUUCUACCUUUGGUAUUGUUUUGUAUCAGCGCAAGUUUGCUUUGGAACUUCUUCAUGCUGCAGGUUAUCUUGAUUGUGAACUUGCCAAAUCUCCUUUAGAUAAGAAUUUUAAGCUGUCUAAGGAUAUGCUGGUACUCCGCUAGCUGAUUCAUCAGCUUAUUGAACUUUGGUUGGCUGCUUGUUAUAUCUCACCACUACCCAUCCGGGUCUCUGUUUUCCUGUCCAGCACUUAAAUCAAUUUCUUUCUGAUCCACAUGAUUCUCACUUACAGGCCAUUCAUUAUAUUCUUCACUACAUCAAAGGAGAACCUGCUAAAGGUCUUUUCUUUCCUAGUUCUUCUGACUUUCAACUUAAGGCCUUUAGUGAUUCAGGUUGGGCUAGUUGUAUGGAUACCCAUUGCUGUUUGUCACAGGUUUCUGCACUUUUCUUGGUCACACUCUCAUUUCUUUGAAGUCUAAGAAGCAGCCUACCAUUUCUAGAUCGUCCUCUAAGGCUGAAUAUUGUGCCUUGGCUGCCACAGCUUGUGAAAUGCAAUGGUUGCUUUACCUCCUCCUUCAUGAUCUGCCCGCUUCUCUGUUCUGUGAUAAUCACUCAGUCCUCCAAAUUGCAGCAAACCCAAUGUUUCGUGAGCGUACUAAACAUAUAAAACUGGACGGUCAUCUAGCUCGAGAAAAGGUCUGAUCCAAUCCGGUCAAACUUCUUCCUAUUCGCUCAGCUGAUCAGCUUGCGGAUGUCUUCACUAAGCUGCUGGAUCCUGGUCCAUUACAGAACCUCAUUAACAGUUUAAGUUAGAAUAGUUUUAUCCCUUGUGUUAAAUACUCUUGUAUAAAUUCUUGCAUAUGCUCAAUAAAGAUAUCUCAGAUUUUCUCCCAAUUCUAGUGUCAGGUUCAUUAUGUUUCCCCACUUUUAAGUAAAUUAUAUGGAUUUUAAGUACUUUAUUUUUGUUUCAGAUCAUGUUAUAGUGAGCUUUGCGAGAAGUGGGGGACCUGGAGGUCAAAAUGUAAAUAAAGGUGGACAUGCGGUUGAAUGUUAAAAAUGCAUAUUGAUUAGGUGAUAGGAUCUGGGAGAAAAUUAUGCAAAUGGUUUGUGGCAACAGAUCUUUUUGUUUAGGUCUCGAGCAGGAAAAAAAUCGCGUCGACAAGGAUGUGGAACUUGUGAUUUCCUUAACAAAAACUAGAACACGAAAGGUUAACAUCGAGGAUGCUUUGGAAAAACUUUGAGGUAAUAUAGAACAGUCGAUAAUAGACUUGGAUUAAAAUUGUUCAAAAGUUUGCAUGAGCAUCGAACUUUGUUAUGCUGGGGACAUUUGCAAAAUAAACUUGCUUCCAUAUACCCUCUCCUCCCAUCAUUAGCUUGAUAAAAAAGAAGAAAAGAAAUAUUCAUGAGUUCAGUGACAUCUUUGAAACAAGAUGGAAGCUGUAGAUGUCAGCUGGUUAAGACAAGACUACUACUUUCUGAAAUGAGGGCCUGGUGGAAGAAUGCAGGAUAGGGAAGUAAUUUAUAAACUCGUUUCUUAGACUUGUGCUUACUAUUCAUUGAUUUUAGGUCCUUCUCAGUUGGCUACUAUACGGUCCUUGUUUACUAUUCAUUUUUAAUUAGUUGGUUACUAUUCAUUUUUUGAGACAUGUCUUAGUUUUAAUUAGUUAUACUUGUUAUUUACUUCUUGUGAGCGAGCCUAUAAAUCCAUUCAGAAACUGAUUAUCAUUCCUCAUCCUACCUGGUUAGGGUCACCAAAGGAAGAAUUUUGUUCCUCUGUUAACUCCCCCCCCCAAAAAAAGAAAAAAGAAAAAAGCUUCUUUUUUUAACUUGGUAAUUUUUGUUGCUAUCUAAUGGAAAAAUCAGGCAAUUAUUGAUGCUGCAGUGUAUGUCCCACCACCUCCCUCGGAAGAACGAAAGAAGAAAGUUGCGAAGAUGUUAACUAUUUUAAAAAUUUCUAGUUCUUCAAGCUACAAUGAUAUAAUUUCUUUAUUGCGUGCUAUGUUGUUUUUCGGUUAAGUUACAUUGGUGCUACUCGAUGUUGAAGGGCAUGUAGCUGAUCUUUGUGGCUCGUGUAACUUUGAAGGGCUGCUAUUGGAGAGCAGAAACGCCUUAAGAGCAAGAAAGCGCUCUCAGAUAAGAAAGCAUUUAGAAGAAGUAAGUUUAGUUGGGACUAUGUUAUGGAAUACCCAAAGUUCGCAGUUCUUGAUCAUUACAUAGUUGCAGGGCAUGAAAGCUCAAUCCUUUGAUCCCAUAAUUGUACGUGCGAUGAGCAAUCGAAUGUACGAGGUGGACGUCAGAAGCCUAACCCAACGACCAGCUUGCUGAAAGGACCUCAAUGAAGUUUCAUUCUCAGAUUUAAAUGCUCUGAUUUUUCCCCCCUUUUUGGUUGCAGUUGUUGGUAUAUACAUUGGGAUAAUGCCAGAAGCACACAUUGGGCACCGGACCAGAGGGAAUAGCGCAGAUUGACAGCUAUAGAUUUAGGACUUAGGAUAUACUCUACAUUAUUCUUUAAAUUAACUAGUUUUUAUGGGUUCAAUGUAUGCGGAUAACAGUGGAUCAUGUGUACAUUAAAGUAUCUCGAAUUUGAAGAUUAACAGCUCAAGAUUUUCCUAUUUUUAA